GACGAACGCUGGCGGCGUGCUUAACACAUGCAAGUCGAACGAAGUGGCGAACGGGUGAGUAACGCGUAAUCAACCUGCCCUUCAGCGGGUGACAACGGUUGAAAACGACUGCUAAUACCGCAUACUGAAGGAGGGGCUUGGGUCUGAUUAGCUAGUUGGAGGGGUAACGGCCCCACAAGGCGAUGAUCAGUAGCCGGUCCGAGGGGAUGAAUGGACACAAUGGGACUGAGACACGGGCCAGACUCCCACGGGAGGCAGCAGUGGGGAAUCUUCCGCAAUGGACGAAAGUCCGACGGAGCAACGCCGCGUGAGUGAUGACGGGCUUCGGGUUGUAAAGCUCUGUUAGUCGGGACGCGGUACCGGAAUAGAAAGCCACGGCUAACUACGUGCCAGCAGCCGCGGUAAUUC
rnacentral:rRNA from 1 species